GUUUGAUCAUGGCUCAGAUUGAACGCUGGCGGCAUGCUUUACACAUGCAAGUCGAACGGCAGCACGAGUGCUUGCACUUGGUGGCGAGUGGCGAACGGGUGAGUAAUACAUCGGAACGUGUCCUAAAGAGGGGGAUAACGCAUUGAAAAAUGUGCUAAUACCGCAUAAUCUUUGAAAAGAAAAGCAGGGGAUCGUAAGACCUUGUGCUUUAGGAGUGGCCGAUGUCUGAUUAGCUAGUUGGUAAGGUAAAGGCUUACCAAGGCGACGAUCAGUAGCUGGUCUGAGAGGACGAUCAGCCACACUGGGACUGAGACACGGCCCAGACUCCUACGGGAGGCAGCAGUGGGGAAUUUUGGACAAUGGGCGGAAGCCUGAUCCAGCAAUGCCGCGUGAGUGAAGAAGGCCUUCGGGUUGUAAAGCUCUUUCAGUCGAAAAGAAAAGGCUAUGCCAAAUAAGUAUAGUUAAUGACGGUAUCGAAAGAAGAAGCACCGGCUAACUACGUGCCAGCAGCCGCGGUAAUACGUAGGGUGCAAGCGUUAAUCGGAAUUACUGGGCGUAAAGGGUGCGCAGGCGGUACUGUAAGUCAGAUGUGAAAUCCCCGGGCUUAACCUGGGAAUUGCGUUUGAAACUACAGAACUAGAGUGUAAUAGAGGGAGACGGAAUUCCAUGUGUAGCAGUGAAAUGCGUAGAGAUAUGGAAGAACAUCGAUGGCGAAGGCAGUCUCCUGUAUUAACACUGACGCUCAUGCACGAAAGCGUGGGGAGCAAACAGGAUUAGAUCCCCUGGUACUCCACGCUCAUAAACUAUGUCAACUACGUUGUUGGGCUUUAAAAAGCUUAGUAACGUAGCUAACGCGAGAAGUUGACCGCCUGGGGAGUAC
rnacentral:rRNA from 1 species